CAGCCGCCGCGGUAAUACGAAGGGUGCAAGCGUUACUCGGAAUUACUGGGCGUAAAGCGUGCGUAGGUGGUGGUUUAAGUCCGUUGUGAAAGCCCUGGGCUCAACCUGGGAAUUGCAGUGGAUACUGGGUCACUAGAGUGUGGUAGAGGAUAGUGGAAUUUCCGGUGUAGCAGUGAAAUGCGUAGAGAUCGGAAGGAACAUCUGUGGCGAAGGCGACUAUCUGGGCCAACACUGACACUGAGGCACGAAAGCGUGGGGAGCAAACAGGAUUAGAUACCCCCGUAGUCCCUGUCUCUUUACA
rnacentral:rRNA from 1 species